rnacentral:misc_RNA from 1 species
AACGCACAUUGCGCCCCUUGGUAUUCCAUGGGGCAUGCCUGUUCGAGCGUCAUUUGUACCCUCAAGCUCUGCUUGGUGUUGGGCGUCUUGUCUUUUUAUUAGACUCGCCUCAAAGUAAUUGGCAGCCAGUGUUUUUGGUAGUAAGCGCAGCACAAUUUGCGUCUUGGUCCCUAAACAGUGGCAUCCACAAAGCCUCUUUCUCACUUUUGACCUCGGAUCAGGUAGGGAUACCCGCUGAACUUAA